CCGUGCUAGGUGGGGAGCUAGCGGUGCCCUGUACCCGCAACCCGCUCUAGCGGGGCCGAACUCCCGCCCGCGGCCCGGAUGGUCCGGGACCGCUCCAGGUACGGAGUGUUGAAGGCCGGGUCCCGCGCGACGCCAACCUGCGAACCCCGUCAGGACCGGAAGGUAGCAGCGGUAAGCGGGCGCUGGCGGGUGCCGCGGGGUUACCUGGCUGGAGCCACCGGCCUGUUGAGCGACCGAGCCGUCCGCCGUCAACGGCGGGUGCACGG
rnacentral:SRP_RNA from 1 species